UACGGAGGGUGCGAGCGUUGUCCGGAAUCACUGGGCGUAAAGGGUGCGUAGGUGGCCAGGUAAGUUUGGUGUGAAAGCUCGGAGCUUAACUCCGAAAAGUCAUUGAAUACUAUCUGGCUGGAGGGUCGGAGGGGAGACUGGAAUUCUCGGUGUAGCAGUGAAAUGCGUAGAUAUCGAGAGGAACACCAGUGGCGAAGGCGAGUCUCUGGACGACUCCUGACACUGAGGCACGAAAGCUAGGGGAGCAAACAGG
rnacentral:rRNA from 1 species